CAGAGUUGACUUGUCGUGGCAACGGUUGCUAGGCGUUGUAAAACCGGGCUGGUCAGGCUUUACCUUGUUCCUGAAGUUCAGUUGCUCCUAGUUUGUGUAUUCAAGUUAGGAUAAGAUAAAACAAAGGCCUACCUUUUUUUUUUUUUUAAACUACGUAGGGCAGAGAGAUUUGAAGAACCACUUAAAUUGGGGGGAAUGGGUUAAAGCAGAAGAGAAAGGCUACAAGACAGAUGACGUCUAUGCCAACCCCUCUACAAGGGAACAGCCCUGAGACUGGAUGAGACAGGAUAAGUCUUGUUGGCUGAGAAGCACUUUAAAAAGAGAAGAAGAAGAAGCAGUGAUCCUAGCUACGGUACACGGGAGAGCUUGCCCUGACCCUCACCUGCUGUAGCACUGGGGAGUAAGCGGUCCUAGCACCACACUUGGGCAUCAUAAUAGUGCUGGUGGUGUGGGUGCAGGUGAGGUGAUCCUGAGGGUGUGAGAGCAGGAGACCUGGCCCUGCUCCUUGCUGCUUUCAGCUUUGGAUGGAUUAGCUGAGGUAAUGCUGAAGAGCUCACCCUGGUGGUGAGGAUGUGGGAGAGUUGGCAGGCUAAACAACUUAGCUACCACCCAGGUCCAGCUCCAGGGCUAUCAGUUGACCAUCCCAACAUCCACCCCAUCUAUGAACUGCUGGAGCUUGUGAAGGGUCCAGUCCUGCAGAUGCAAAGCUACAGAAUCUCCAUGACACAAGGCAACAGCGGGACAUCUGAGAGAAGUCCUAGUGAGGAUUCAAUAUUGAUGGUGGAGUAGAAGCCAGAGGCCUCAAACCAGACCAAAGACUCAUUGCAAUGAACAAGAUGUAUGGGUUAUGUGACUCAUGGUGGCACAUUACACUUUCCACAAUGAAAUGGUUUUUAAUUUAAUUUUAUUUUGGAGGGGAGGUUGCAUGGGC